rnacentral:tRNA from 1 species
GGGGUUGAAGCUCAGUGAUAGAGCAUCUACUCAGCAUGCAGAAGGUCCCAGGUUCAGUCCCUGCCCUGGCACUUCCA